rnacentral:rRNA from 1 species
UACGUAGGGUGCAAGCGUUGUCCGGAAUUAUUGGGCGUAAAGAGCUCGUAGGCGGUCUGUCACGUCGGCUGUGAAAACCUGGGGCUCAACUCCGGGCCUGCAGCCGAUACGGGCAGACUAGAGUUCGGCAGGGGAGACUGGAAUUCCUGGUGUAGCGGUGAAAUGCGCAGAUAUCAGGAGGAACACCGGUGGCGAAAGCGGCUCACUGGGUCUCUUCUGACGCUGAGGCACGAAAGCUAGGGUAGCGAACGGG